AGCGCGCUUACACUGCAGUCGAGCGGGGGAAGUAGCUUGCUACUGGACCUAGCGGCGGACGGGUGAGUAAUGCUUAGGAAUCUGCCUAUUAGUGGGGGACAACAUUCCGAAAGGAGUGCCAAU
rnacentral:rRNA from 1 species